rnacentral:rRNA from 1 species
CGGGAAAAGCUCAAAUUUAAAAUCUGGUAGUCUUUGGCUGCCCGAGUUGUAAUCUAGAGAAGCGUUAUCCGUGCUGGACCGUGUAUAAGUCUUCUGGAAUGGAGCGUCAUAGAGGGUGAGAAUCCCGUCUUUGACACGGACUACCAGUGCUUUGUGAUGCGCUCUCAAA